rnacentral:lncRNA from 1 species
AAAGAUUUUUUUUUUAAUAGGUUUAUCUGCGUAUCCUGGCGAAGUUUGGAUGCAGAGAACUUGGAGCUGUUGUUUUCUACCAGACACUAGGAUCCCUGAGAGAGGUGUCAUUCUUUCGCGCUGCACACACCUUCCUCCACGUGGUGAAGAUACAUCGCUCCUGACAGAUCCAAAGGGAGAUACCGAUCCAUGGAAGAUGGUUGCUCUCGGAAAAUGCUGAGAAGUUUGCAAAAGGAAUGGAAGCAGAGUUAACCAAUGUAUCAGGAAGCUUACACUUUCUCCUUUUAAACUGCUGUGCUGGUCUAUUAAGACAUGCCUAAUACCCAAAGCUGAGGGGCAAAAGGGGAGAGAAUGAAGUUUAUGCAUCUGUGUCAUAGAGAAAAGCUGCCAAAAAUGUGAUUAAGCUUUUUGAGUUAGAACUUAACAAAAUGCCUUUGCUACUGGUUUCCAUGGUUGUCCAGUGAAAAGAGUGAAUACAUUUAUAGGAAACACAAAAGGUGGUUUCAGAGCUUGGGCAGGAUGGAAGACGUAUUUCUUCUACUAUUUGCUCCUGUGAGUUUAGUGCCACAGACCUGCUCAGGCAUCUGGGAGAUGCCGGUGGGAGAUGCCAGGGCUGAGCAGGUUUGAAUUUCUUCCUAAACAGGGAAUAAAGACCUUGAGGAAGGAAUAUAGAUAUUAAGGAAGACCCAGCUCCUCACUAAUGAGCUUACCUGCUUCUCUUGGGACAGCUUGCCUUAAAGUAGACAGUGCUGUCAUGGGCUUCUGGAUCUUAGAAAAUGCUUCUCAUUCUAGGGAAUUUUGGCCAUGGAGACCAUCGCACAGCUCUUCUCCCAUCUCCUCUUGGCUGCCAUCCCAGUAAACAGGUCCUUCCCAGAACCCACAGAGGAGAAAGGCGUUGGAGAGGUGGUAAAGAUCGUUGGCGGGCUAGGUGGCAAUGUUAAGUCCUGAAAAACGCUGUGCGUUGGGGAGUUUCUUAGAACACUUGUGUUACUACAAAGGAAUACUUGAGGCUGGGUAAUUUAUAAAGAAAGAGGUUACUUUGGCUUGCAGUUCUGCAGCCUGUACAAGAAGCAAGGCACCUGCAUUUGCUUCUGGUGAUGGCUUCAGGCUGCUUCCACUCAUGGUGGAAGAGGAAGGGGCACCAGUAUGUGCAAAUCACAACAAGGUGAGAGAGAAGGCAGGUGGGGAGAUGCCAGGCUCUCUUUUAACAAUCAGCUCUCAUGGGAACUAGUAGAGUGAAAACUCACUUAUUGCUAUGAGGAUGGCACUGAGCCAUUCAUGAGGGGGUCCACCCUCAUGGCCCUGACACCUCCCUUCAGGCCUCACCUCCAACAUAUGAAUCCUAUC